rfam:Lupinus angustifolius cultivar Tanjil contig_28087, whole genome shotgun sequence.
UGUUGAAUGAUGAAAGCAAUCAUUCGGAUUCCCAAUGAUAAUAUAUAUGAUCUUACAAUCACUUUCUGACAACA